CCUACGGGAGGCAGCAGUGGGGGAUAUUGCACAAUGGGGGAAACCCUGAUGCAGCGACGCCGCGUGGGUGAAGAAGCGCCUCGGCGCGUAAAGCCCUGUCAGCAGGGGAGAAAAUGACGGUACCUGAAGAAGAAGCCCCGGCUAACUACGUGCCAGCAGCCGCGGACAUACGUAGGGGGCAAGCGUUAUCCGGAUUUAUUGGGUGUAAAGGGGGCGCAGACGGGGAUGCAAGCCAGGAGUGAAAGCCCGGGGCCCAACCCCGGGACUGCUCUUGGAACUGCGUGGCUAGAGUGCAGGAGGGGCAGGCGGAAUGCGUGGUGUAGCGGUGAAAUGCGUAGAUAUCAGGAGGAACACCGGUGGCGAAGGCGGCCUGCUGGACUGCAACUGACGUUGAGGCCCGAAAGCGUGGGGAGCAAACAGGAUUAGAUACCCUUGUAGUC
rnacentral:rRNA from 1 species